AAAAUGUGUAUAUUUGUUAUAAUUUGAUGAUAUUUUUAUUAAUAAAUAUUUGUAUAUUACAAAGCAAGGUCCAGGGAAAGGGAUAACUAGACGGGCAUAGACUUUUCAAGUCACAAUAGCCAGAAUUAACCCUGAUAGAUAUUUUCAACCAAAAAAUAAGGUGGUCAAAGAGGAACCGUUAUUUUCAACAGACAUUUUGAUUAUGAUUUCAGAAAAUUAAUUCAUCAUCUUUUCUGCCGGGACUUCUUUUGGUUAGAGGUAAGAUUUGCAGGCUCUGCAAAUCUAAGUUAGAAAUAGCUCUUAAAUCUCACGAUGUUAUAGAUAUUAGACGAUCAAAAUGGUCGCAGUUCUAGAAGGCUGACCUAGUGAACUGACUCCGAUAAUCUAAUCUAGAGAAAAUUAAUCAUUAUCUUCUGCCAGGACUAUUGUUCUGGUUGUAAUAGAGAUUUGCAGGCUUGGCAAAUCUGAAGCAAAAACAGCUGAGCCACCAAUAAUUGAAGAAAAUCAAUCUUGAUCUUCUCCCAGGACUAUUGUUUUGCUGAGCCCUCGUUGAUCUAUUCUAAAGAAAAUCAAUCUUGAUCUUCUCCCAGGACUAUUGUUUUGCUGAGCCCUCGUUGAUCUAUUCUAAAGAAAAUAAAUCAUGAUUUUCUGCCGAUUUUGGUUGGAGUUGAUAUAUGGAAGCUCGGAAAAUUGGAAGAAGAAACAGCUGAUAAUCUAAUCAGAUGGUUGAAUUGAAGUCAUCGUCAACUGUCUAAAGAUCGUGCCUUUGCUUUUGGAAGAGGUCUUAUAUUUUGGGGUGAAAAAGGAAUACAUAGAUAUUUGUUUCUAGCCCACUAGGUCCUGAAUGUGGUGAGACUUGUGACGCAUUCGAUGUAAUAUUGAAUACCUGAUUUUCAUCAUUAGUUGCUCUCUUAGAUUCAGCUUGAUCUUAUCGAAUGAUCAUUCUGUGGGUUACUCAAUGCUGAUUCUGGAUAAUCCGCUUUAAUUACUGGAUCAAGGUCGAAGGUGUCAUUUGCUGGUACGGGACGAUACGUUACAGAGGGCGGUGCUAGGUCAACAACAAAAACCAAAGGAAAAAUGAGCACAACUAAAAUGAAAGGGGCAACGCUGAGAGAUAGAAUACCCAAUACGCGAGAGAUGGGAAUACAGGAUGUUGUCAGGUGGCGCUGCUUUUGGAGGGAUCACUUAGAUAGGAAGGGUUCAGAUCGAAUUACGAGGUGGGCCAAAACACAAAAACCAGGAAUUAGACGACCAGUUGGUAGGUCCCCAAUAGGUUGGUAUGAUCACUGGACAUCAACUCCGCCAGAAGGCAGGUGACAAAUUAUAGGACUCUAUCCUAUUACAAAAUGAAGAAGAGUGCUUUAAUACCAGUGCAGGAAAAACAACAGCAUUUCUAUCAUAGAAAGGGGAAUGCUUCUUUGACAAUCUCAGAGAUAUAAUGGAUUGUCGUGGUUCAUUGGAUCAAUAUGGAUUUCUCUAUAUGGGGCUCCGUCUUAUUUAUGUAAAACUACAGCUGAAUUUUCAUUAUUUAUAUCUAAUAUAUUCUUAAAAAUU